UGGUCAGCUCGUGUCGUGAGAUGUUGGGUUAAGUCCCGCAACGAGCGCAACCCUUGCCUUUAGUUGCCAGCAUUAAGUUGGGCACUCUAGAGGGAAAGCCGAGGAUAACUCGGAGGAAGGUGGGGAUGACGUCAAAUCAUCAUGCCCCUUAUGCUUAGGGCUACACACGUGCUACAAUGGGUGGUACAGAGGGUUGCCAAACCGUGAGGUGGAGCUAAUCCCUUAAAGCCAUUCUCAGUUCGGAUUGUAGGCUGAAACUCGCCUACAUGAAGCUGGAGUUACUAGUAAUCGCAGAUCAGAAUGCUGCGGUGAAUGCGUUCCCGGGUCUUGUACACACCGCCCGUCACACCAUGGGAGUUGGGGGCGCCCGAAGCCGGUUAGCUAACCUUUUAGGAGGCAACCGUCGAAGGUGAAACCAAUGACUGGGGUGAAGUCGUAACAAGGUAACCGUA
rnacentral:rRNA from 1 species